rnacentral:rRNA from 1 species
GACGAACGCUGGCGGCGUGCUUAACACAUGCAAGUCGAACGCUGAAGCUCAGCUUUUGUUGGGUGGAUGAGUGGCGAACGGGUGAGUAACACGUGAGUAACCUGCCCCCUUCUUUGGGAUAACGCCCGGAAACGGGUGCUAAUACUGGAUAUUCACUGGUCUUCGCAUGGGGGUUGGUGGAAAGGGUUUUUCUGGUGGGGGAUGGGCUCGCGGCCGAUCCGCUUGUUGGUGGGGUGAUGGCCUACCAAGGCGUUGACGGGUGGCCGGGCUGAGAGGGUGACUGGGCACAUGAGCGCUGAGAUACGGCCCAGGCUCCUGCGGGGAGCAGCAGUGGAGGAUAUAGCGCAAUGGGCGCAAGACUGAUGCGGCGACGGCGCGAGAGAGGUGGAGUCCUUCGGGUUGUGAACCGCUUUCGCUCAUGGUCAAGCCGCAACAAUGGUUGUGGUGAGGGUAGUGGGUAAAGAAGCGCCGGCUAACUACGUG